ensembl:snoRNA
AUUUUAGCCUUCAGCAUGCUUGGGUCUGGAGUGACCCUGUGAAUUCCUACAGUGCUUGCAAGAAAAAGAUGAAAAGAUUUGAGGGCUUACUCUGCUCUAUACAGAGCAAGGUUACAGAAAUUUUAGACUACU